GUCCACGCCGUAAACGAUGGGUACUAGGUGUCUGGGGGAGCGACCCCCUGGGUGCCGUCGCUAACGCAUGAAGUACCCGCCUGGGGAGUACGGCCGCAAGGCUGAAACUCAAAGGAAUUGACGGGGGCCCGCACAAGCGGUGGAGCAUGUGGUUUAAUUCGACGCAACGCGAAGAACCUUACCUAGGCUUGACAUGCUGGAGAAAGCUCGCAGAAACGUGAGCCCCUCUUCGGAGUUCCAGCACAGAUGCUGCAUGGCUGUCGU
rnacentral:rRNA from 1 species